GACGAACGCUGGCGGCAUGCCUAAUACAUGCAAGUAGAACGCAGUUGCGAACGGGUGAGUAACGCGUAGGUAACUGCCUCAUAGCGGGGGAAAACUAUUGGAAACGAUAGCUAAAACCGCAUACUGUGAGAUGGACCUGCGUUGUAUUAGCUAGUUGGUGAGGUAAAGGCUCAACAAGGCGACGAUACAUAGACGACCUGAGAGGGGUAGCGGCCAAACCUGGAAUGGGAAAAGGCCCCGAAUCCUACGGGAGGCAGCAGUAGGGAAGUUUUGGCAAUGGACGGAAGGCUGAACGAGCAAAGCCGCGGGAGUGAAGAAGGUUUUCGGAUCGGAAAGCUCUGUUGUUAGAGAAGCGUUAACUAACCAGAAAGGGACGGCUAACUACGUGCCAGCAGCCGCGGUAAUAC
rnacentral:rRNA from 1 species